rnacentral:rRNA from 1 species
AACGAACGCUGGCGGCAUGCCUAAUACAUGCAAGUCGAACGCAGUUGCGAACGGGUGAGUAACGCGUAGGUAACUGCAUCAUCGCGGGGGAUCACUAUUGGAAACGAUAGCUCAUACCGCAUCCUGUUAGCUGGACCUGCGUUGUAUUAGCUAGUUGGUGAGGUAAAGGCUCACCAAGGCGACGAUACAUAGCCGACCUGAGAGGGGGAACGGCCAAAAUGGGACUUGGACCAGGCCCAGAAUCCGUCGGGAGGGAGCAGUAGGGAAACUUUGGCAAUGGACGGAAGUCUUGCCGAGGAAAGCCGGGGGAGUGAAGAAGGGUCUCGGAUCGGAAAGCUAUGUUGUUAGGGAAGCGGUAACUAACCAGAAAGGGACGGCUAACUACGUGCCAGCAGCCGCGGUAAUAC